CAGUCGCCGCGGGAAUACGGAGAGUGCAAGCGUUAAUCGGAAUUACUGGGCGUAAAGCGCACGCAGGCGGUCUGUCAAGUCAGAUGUGAAAUCCCCGGGCUUAACCUGGGAACUACAUUUGAAACUGGCAGGCUAGAGUCUUGUAGAGGGGGGUGGAAUUCCAGGUGUAGCGGUGAAAUGCGUAGAGAUCUGGAGGAAUACCGGUGGCGAAGGCGGCAACCUGGUCCUUGACUGACGCUGAGGCGCGAAAGCGUGGGGAGCAAACAGGAUUAGAUACCCGGGUAGUCCCUGUCUCUUAUAA
rnacentral:rRNA from 1 species